rnacentral:rRNA from 1 species
GACGAACGCUGGCGGCGUGCUUAACACAUGCAAGUCGAACGGAAAGGCCCUGCCUUUGUGGGGUGCUCGAGUGGCGAACGGGUGAGUAACACGUGAGUAACCUGCCCUUGACUUUGGGAUAACUUCAGGAAACUGGGGCUAAUACCGGAUAGGAGCUCCUGCUGCAUGGUGGGGGUUGGAAAGUUUCGGCGGUUGGGGAUGGACUCGCGGCUUAUCAGCUUGUUGGUGGGGUAGUGGCCUACCAAGGCUUUGGCGGGUAGCCGGCCUGAGAGGGUGACCGGCCACAUUGGGACUGAGAUACGGCCCAGACUCCUACGGGAGGCGGCAGUGGGGAAUAUUGCACAAUGGGCGGAAGCCUGAUGCAGCAACGCCGCGUGCGGGAUGACGGCCUUCGGGUUGUAAACCGCUUUCGCCUGUGACGAAGCGUGAGUGACGGUAAUGGGUAAAGAAGCACCGGCUAACUACGUG